rnacentral:rRNA from 1 species
CCUACGGGAGGCAGCAGUGAGGAAUAUUGGUCAAUGGGCGCGAGCCUGAACCAGCCAAGUAGCGUGAAGGAUGACUGCCCUACGGGUUGUAAACUUCUUUUAUCAGGGAAUAAAGUGAGGCACGUGUGCCGCCUCGUAUGUACCUUAUGAAUAAGGAUCGGCUAACACCGUGCCAGCAGCCGCGGUAAUACGGAGGAUCCGAGCUUUAUCCGGUUUUAUUUGGUUUAAAGUGUGCGCAGGCGGAACUGGAAGCCAGCGGUAAAAUGGCGGGGCUCAACCCCGUCGAGCCGGUGAAACUGGGGGGCUUGAGUGCGGGAGAGGGACGCGGAAUGCGAGGUGUAGCGGUGAAAUGCAUAGAUAUCGCGCAGAACCCCGAUUGCGAAGGCAGCGUGCCGG